rnacentral:rRNA from 1 species
GAAUCCGCCAAGGAGUGUGUAACAACUCACCUGCCGAAUGAAUUAGCCCUGAAAAUGGAUGGCGCUAAAGCGGGUAGCCGACACCAUGCCGUCUGUUUAAUAGAUAACAGAUGAGUAGGAGGGCGUGGUGGCCGUAUCGAAGCAUGCGUGCGAACGCGUGUGGAACGGCCACUAGUGCAGAUCUUGGUGGUAGUAGCAAAUAUUCAAGCGAGAUCCUUGAAGGGCGAAGCGGGGAAGGGUUCCACGCGAACAUUGAUUGGGCGUGGGUGAGUCGUUCCUAAGCCGAGUGGCCAUUGCUAAAUAGUCGGCGAAAGGGAAGCGGGUUGAAAUUCCCGCACACGGAUGUGGAGGCGGCGACGCUUUAUUGAGACGAAGACGCUGGCGGUGGCGCUGGGCAGAGAUGUCUUUUCUGUUUAACCAUUAUCAAGCUGUGUGGAAUCCGCUUGUCGGGAGAAACACGCCUGAAAGGGAAGAGCGCCGGGCUUUUUCCGGCGUCCAGCUCGCCACCGACGGCCCUUGAAAAUUUGUCUGAUGGUAAAAUCCACGCCGUGGCGUACCGAUAACCGCAUCAGGUCCCCAAGGUGAACAGCCUCUGUCCAAUAUGAACAAUGCAGGUAAGGGAAGUCGGCA